CAGCAGCCACGGGAAUACGGAGGGUGCGAGCGUUAAUCGGAAUUACUGGGCGUAAAGCGUGCGCAGGCGGUUCGUUAAGACAGAUGUGAAAUCCCCGGGCUUAACCUGGGAACUGCAUUUGUGACUGGCGAGCUAGAGUAUGGCAGAGGGGGGUAGAAUUCCACGUGUAGCAGUGAAAUGCGUAGAGAUGUGGAGGAAUACCGAUGGCGAAGGCAGCCCCCUGGGCCAAUACUGACGCUCAUGCACGAAAGCGUGGGGAGCAAACAGGAUUAGAUACCCCGGUAGUCCCUGUCUCUUAUAC
rnacentral:rRNA from 1 species